GCAAACUUGGUCAUUUAGAGGAAGUAAAAGUCGUAACAAGGUUUCCGUAGGUGAACCUGCGGAAGGAUCAUUACUGAAUUGUCAACAAGAGUUGUUGCUGGUCCUCAAUUGGGGGGGCAUGUGCACACUCUGUUUACACAUCCACUCACACCAUGUGCACCCUCUGUAGUCCCAUGGCAAGGGGAUCCGUCCUCCUGCUGUGGUUCUGCAUCUUCACAUACACACACUGUAACAAAGUAUCAUGGAAUGCACACUGCAUUUAAUGCAAUACAAUACAACUUUCAGCAACGGAUCUCUUGGCUCUCGCAUCGAUGAAGAACGCAGC
rnacentral:misc_RNA from 1 species